ensembl:processed_transcript
AUGUUACGUUAUGAAAAUGUUUUAACUACUUUCAGUAUCUAUGAUGUAUUGUAUAUUUUUAUUGUGUAUUUUUCUUCGUAUUCAGGUGUGACUGGUACAGAUGUUCCGGUGUCAGUGAUGGAAGAAGAUUCAGUCAUUCUACACACUGGUGUUGAAAAUCUUACAGAAAUUAAAUGGUAUUUUAAUAAGACUCGCAUCGCUCAACUCAAUGGAAAUGUCAGUUUUAUCUGUACCGAUAAUCAGUGUAUUAAUGGCACUGAGAGAUUCAGAGGCAGACUGAAGCUGGACCUUAAGACUGGAUCUCUGACCAUCAUGAAAAUCAAUAAAACACACUCUGGAGAAUAUCAACUAGUAGUUGAUGGCAUUGGCAAUAGCAAUGGGGGAAAGAUCCUUAUUAUUACUGUCCAAGAUAAUCCCGCUGUUUAUAAUCAAGUAAAGAAAAACCCGGGAGAGUCUGUCACUUUCAAUCCUGGCGUGAGAAGAGACAUAAUUGUUGUGAUGAAGUGUUUUUUAAAUAAUAUUCUCAUUGCUGAGAUCACCGGAGGUCAGAGUCAGAUCUGCAGUAAUGUUCAGUGUAAAGAGAGAUUCACAGACCGACUGAAACUGGACAGUGAAACUGCAUCUCUGACCAUCACGAACAUCAGAAACACAGAUUCUGGAAAUUAUACACUAGAGAUUUUCAUCAGAAACGACACACACUUCAGCAUCACCAGAGAGAAGACGUUCAGCCUCACUGUCGUUUCUCCUCCACCUUCACGUCUGUCUGGAGGUGCAAUAGCAGGAAUAGUUAUUCUGCUGGUUGUCGUCGCUGCUGUUGUUGGUGGUGUGAUUUACUAUCUUCGUCACAGAAGUGAUAGAGCGGCACAGCCGGUAAGUAUAAAACACGGGAUUUAACAAGAUGUGGAAUAUUCUGAUCAAAAAAAAAUAAAACUGUAAG